rnacentral:rRNA from 1 species
ACGUGGAGCCAUCCUUGAAAUACCACCCUGGUUUGUUUGCGGUUCUAACCUUGGUCCGUUAUCCGGAUCGGGGACAGUGCAUGGUGGGCAGUUUGACUGGGGCGGUCUCCUCCCAAAGUGUAACGGAGGAGUUCGAAGGUACGCUAGGUACGGUCGGAAAUCGUGCUGAUAGUGCAAUGGCAUAAGCGUGCUUGACUGUGAGACUGACAAGUCGAACAGGUGCGAAAGCAGGACAUAGUGAUCCGGUGGUUCUGAAUGGAAGGGCCAUCGCUCAACGGAUAAAAGGUACUCUGGGGAUAACAGGCUGAUACCGCCCAAGAGUUCAUAUCGACGGCGGUGUUUGGCACCUCGAUGUCGGCUCAUCUCAUCCUGGGGCUGUAGCCGGUCCCAAGGGUAUGGCUGUUCGCCAUUUAAAGAGGUACGUGAGCUGGGUUUAAAACGUCGUGAGACAGUUUGGUCCCUAUCUGCCGUGGGCGUUGGAUACUUGACGGAGCCUGCUCCUAGUACGAGAGGACCGGAGUGGACGUACCUCUGGUGUACCGGUUGUCAUGCCAAUGGCAUUGCCGGGUAGCUAAGUACGGAAGAGAUAACCGCUGAAGGCAUCUAAGCGGGAAACUCGUCUGAAGAUUAGGUAUCCCGGGGACUUGAUCCCCCUAAAGAGUCGUUC